rnacentral:rRNA from 1 species
UUAAACAUGAGAGUUUGAUCCUGGCUCAGGAUGAACGCUGGCGGCGUGCUUAACACAUGCAAGUCGAACGAAGCACUUAAAUUUGAUUCUUCGGAAGAAGAUUUUUGUGACUGAGUGGCGGACGGGUGAGUAACGCGUGGGUAACCUGCCUCAUACAGGGGGAUAACAGUUAGAAAUGACUGCUAAUACCGCAUAAGCGCACAGG